UAUAUCGGUAUACAUAUGAGGGGAGACUGUAUGAUCCAGCCGGUUAGGGAAGCCGACUCAUUACAAACUGCAUCUGGAAACGCCAAGCACAGGUGUGCGUCAUGUAUAAUCACGUGUUGUCAUCCAAAGCACAAUUAAUGCAGCACAGUAAUAUAAACUUAGUUACGGUAUUAGGUAUUGCACCCAAAAGAUUAUAUUACGAAUUGUUUCCUAAACACUGCCGCUUCCCCUGGCUCCAUAGUCUUCCUGCUUGGACACAGCCUUGGAGUCCACCAGCUUGAAGAUGCCCUUCUCCCUCUGCGUCCACUUGAUGUACUUGGGACAGGUGUUUUUGUCCUGCAGCAAGGCCAGGAGAAACUCCCACAGGAACGCAAGGCCGUGACAGGAGACAGGGACAGAGUUCAGAACCGGAGACCUGCCACUGCCCCCUGCUGGCAGACGAGGAGCCGUGCGUCACCUUUCUUCUUCUGUGGUUUUGUGGGGCACUUCCGCGGGAUCUCGUCCAUGGAGGAGGACUCGUCGUCCGGCGACCAGUCCGCGCAGCCGCUGGACAGCUGCUCUGGCUUCAGCGGUAUGUAGCUGAUUUCAGGGUCCAGCAGGGCACCAUAUGUGUGAACUGGACAACAGCCGGGAGAGGAGAAGAGAGAGAG